GGGGGUGAACGGUUUCGACUCUGGACGUUGAUUCAGGGGAAGCGUGCAGGUGCAGGCGGAUGGCCACCUCAAGCGUCGCCGCAAACCAAUAUGCGCCAAGGUUAAUUCCAAGGCCGACGUCGCACUCGCCGCCUGAGCGAGUCGUGACGUCUGUCGGCCCGGGGUCGCCUCCGACCCGGUCUGCCGGCAUCAGCUAGGAGGCUUACUGCCACGAACAGGCCGCAGGGUCGUGGCGGGACACCUACAGCGGCUGGGCCCGUCACACCAGCUGGUUCGCGUGACUGGUGGGGCCGAGUAGAGACACAGUGAACUGCGCACGGAGAAGCCCUGAUGAGGCGACAGAGGACCCGGGUUCGAUUCCCGGCACCUCCACGA
rnacentral:tmRNA from 2 species